ACAAACGAAUAUGACUUACCGUAGACAGCAGGUGCUUGAAUAGGCUUAAUUUCCUGCCGAGGUGUUAUGAUAUAGAAUCACCAAUCUUUGAUGAACGACAAAGAUCAUGUGAAUCAUCAUGCCUUCGCAGUGUCUGCGAAGGCAUUUUCGCGUUUUAG
rfam:Bacillus xerothermodurans strain ATCC 27380 scaffold_20, whole genome shotgun sequence.